UGAGCGCAGAAACUUCCUUGAUGACCUGAAAAACAUUGGCAAAGGUCUUCUUCACGAAGUUGAGAAUCUCGCCCCAACUGUCAUCGAGAGUGCACUGCCCGCUCUUCUGGCUGGUGUUGGCAAGCGCGGAGUUGAGCGCAGAAACUUCCUUGAUGACCUGAAAAACAUUGGCAAAGGUCUUCUUCACGAAGUUGAGAAUCUCGCCCCAACUGUCAUCGAGUGC